ensembl:lncRNA
AAAAAUAGAGAUAUCCCAUGGGUCCAACCUAAUCAAAUAAAUCCUUAAAAGGGAGAAUUUCCUUCAGCUGAUGGCAGACGCAUUCAGAGAAAUUCUAAGCAUGAGAAGGAUUCCCUGUGCUGCCACUAUGUUUGAGGAUGGAGUGGGGGCCACGUGAGAAGGAAGACAGGCAGCUUUAAGGAGCUGAGAAUGAGCCCCCAGCAGAUAGCCAGCGAGGAAACCUGCGCCUCACUCCCAAGCUGCAAGGAAUUAGAAUCUGCCAACAACCUGAAUGAGCUGGGAAGCAAGUUCUUCCCAGAGCCUCCAGAACCUUGACUUGGCCUUGUGAGACCAAAGCAGAGAGCCCCGGCAAGCUUGUCUGGAAUUCUGAUCUGCUGUCUGUGAGAUAAUAAACGAAUGUUGUUUUAAGCUGCUAAACUUGUGGUAACUUGUUGAACAGCAAUAGAAACCAAUGCAGGGGGCUAGAGGAAGGAGGAAAACCCGGGAGUGUGUUGAAUCAUCAUUUUAGGAAGAGUGUUUUUCAAGAAGGAGAAAAUGGCCAAAAGAUUUGAAUGCUGGACGGAGGACCAAGAGGAAGCAUCAGCAGUGAGGGAGAGGUUGAAGGUUCAGCAGAGAUAAGUGAUACGGUAGCACUCAGCAAGCUGAAUGCAACCAAUUGCUCCAACGUGUGGGAUAGAAAGACAUUAUUCUUCAACAUUAGGAGGACAAGUUCACUGAGAGCUGGAGAUAGAAGCCCUGUGGAUGGGAUCAUCUAUUUUUGUGAUACCCGGGACUUGGGGAGCCUUCAGGACUGUCUUCCCUGCUGAGGAGCCUUGGUGGGUGAGGAGCGAGCUCAGAAGGCCGUCCUCCACCCCAGCCCGGAGGCACAGCCAUUCGUUUGACCCCUCCUUCUGCUGCCUGUGUGUGAAGACCCCCGCUCCAAACGACUUCAAUGGCAGAAGGCAGCUGGGAACAGCUGGGAACUGUUGUUAGCUUCUGGCAACGUCCUGGAAUUUCUUCCUUGUGGAUCCUGUGCCCCUGAGCUGCUGGGGGCCCCUGACUUGACCUGAAGUUGAACUUAGCCAAAGGGUCCGGGGCCAGGAGUUGCCUCCAUGUCAGCUCUGAUAGCAGCAUGAAAUUGCUCAACCUUUCUAAGAAAGCUGAGGCUGCCUUUCUAGCCAUUCCUGGGAUGGGACAACUAUCAGAGGCCACAUAUUCUGCAAAUCCAUUCACGUUUUCCAGGGGAAGAAUGGUGCAUGAGACGGUGGCCAGAUAAAACACUUGCUUUUGUUCACAAAUACCUCCAGCAGGUCCCAUAUGAGAUAGCAAUGCUCUUGGUGGGGAUGAGGCAGAGAGGGGUGGCUUCAGAUAAGAUGCUGCUUGAGGAGAAUCGCUGUUUUCAAGGGUGGAGGUGCAUUAUAUCCGUUAAUGGGUUCGUCUAAGGGACAACGUUUCAUUCACAGAGUUGGAGAACGGGGAGCUGCAGCAAUUCUAGUCUUUUUAAACCCUUCUUUUUAAAGCAGGAGUGAAAAGAGGCCAAGAGAGGGGUGGCAACUUUUCCUAGAUCACACAGCAAGUCAGAAGUAAAACUCUGUGUAGAAUUUGGAGCCUCUGAUGUGGAUUGCAGUGCCUUUUCCACUGUACAACUGCUUAAGCCUUGCAACCCAAUACUUCAUCUUUCCAUCUUCUCUUCCCUCUACAUAUU